rnacentral:rRNA from 1 species
UACGAACUGUGCGAACGUUAUUCGGAAUCACUGGGCUUACAGGGUGCGUAGGCGGCUUAGCAAGUCAGGUGUGAAAGCCCCCGGCUCAACCGGGGAACUGCGCUUGAAAUUGCUGAGCUCGAGUCAGCUAGAGGUACACGGAACUUCCAGUGGAGCGGUGAAAUGUGUUGAUAUUGGAAGGAACACCGGAGGCGAAAGCGGUGUACUGGGGCUGGUCUGACGCUGAGGCACGAAAGCCAGGGGAGCGAACAGG